GACGAACGCUGGCGGCGUGCCUAAUACAUGCAAGUUGAGCGCCGAAGGUUGGUACUUGUACCAACUGGAUGAGCAGCGAACGGGUGAGUAACGCGUGGGGAAUCUGCCUUUGAGCGGGGGACAACAUUUGGAAACGAAUGCUAAUACCGCAUAAAAACUUUAAACACAAGUUUUAAGUUUGAAAGAUGCAAUUGCAUCACUCAAAGAUGAUCCCGCGUUGUAUUAGCUAGUCGGUGAGGUAAAGGCUCACCAAGGCGAUGAUACAUAGCUGACCUGAGAGGGUGAUCGGCCACAUUGGGACUGAGACACGGCCCAAACUCCUACGGGAGGCAGCAGUAGGGAAUCUUCGGCAAUGGACGAAAGUCUGACCGAGCAACGCCGCGUGAGUGAAGAAGGUUUUCGGAUCGUAAAACUCUGUUGGUAGAGAAGAACGUUGGUGAGAGUGGAAAGCUCAUCAAGUGACGGUAACUACCCAGAAAGGGACGGCUAACUACGUG
rnacentral:rRNA from 1 species